AUGGCAGACCCGAGUGACCAGAUGAUGCUCUUGUCCAAACCAUUGAAGAACCUGAGAAGGAAACUAUCCGAAAGACCACAGCCCUGGAUCGAGAACUUUGGAUUUUUUUUUUUCCCUAGUAUUCCUUCUACAAGUUUGAACAGUGUCGAACCGUCUGCCCGGCUUCCCGUCCCAAGUGAGCGCUCCAACAGAGAGCCUUCUGAUGAGGAGUACGUUGCCAGGGUAACGGAGUGUAAGCAGGAGAACAGCACCUUGCAGAUCACAAAGGCAAAUCUGCAGAAAGAAAUUUCACGCCCGCCCCUGGCUCGGCGCCCGGUGCCAACAGAACACCUUUCAGGAUCCACAGCAACGCAGACAACGUAUUUGCUACAAAAGAGGAUGCCAUCCAGCUGCAACAGGAGUUAA
rnacentral:lncRNA from 1 species